UACAGAGGUCCCGAGCGUUGUUCGGAUUCAUUGGGCGUAAAGGGUGCGUAGGCGGCGGGGCAAGUCUGAUGUGAAAUCCCGGGGCUCAACCCCGGAACUGCAUUGGAUACUGCCUUGCUCGAGUACUGGAGAGGGAACUGGAAUUUACGGUGUAGCAGUGAAAUGCGUAGAGAUCGUAAGGAAGGCCAGUGGCGAAGGCGAGUUCCUGGACAGUUACUGACGCUGAGGCACGAAGGCCAGGGGAGCAAACCGG
rnacentral:rRNA from 1 species